rnacentral:rRNA from 1 species
AUUGAACGCUGGCGGCAGGCUUAACACAUGCAAGUCGAGCGAGCGGCGGACGGGUGAGUAAUGUCUGGGAAACUGCCUGCUGGAGGGGGAUAACUACUGGCAACGGUAGCUAAUACCGCAUACCAUCAGAUCUGCCCAGAUGGGAUUAGCUAGUAGGUGGGGUAAUGGCUCACCUAGGCGACGAUCCCUAGCUGGUCUUAGAGGAUGACCAGCCACACUGGAACUGAGACACGGUCCAGACUCCUCGGGGGGGCAGCAGUGGGGAAUAUUGGACAAUGGGCGAAAGCCUGAUGCAGCAAUGCCGCUUGUGUGAAGAAGGCCUUCGGGUUGUAAAGCACUUUCAGCGAGGAGGCGUUACUCGCAGAAGAAGCACCGGCUAACUACGUGCCAGCAGCCGCGGUAAUUC